rnacentral:tRNA from 1 species
GCGCUGGGAUAGCUCAGUCGGUAGAGCAUGAGGCUCUUAAUCUCAGCGUCGUGGGUUUGAGUCCCACAUGGGGCA